AUGGCACAGAGCUGAUCAGUGUGAUUAUUGGUUAUUAUUCUGACCACAUCAAUAAUUUAUUAUAAACUAGAAUCACCACCUGAUGGUCGUUUCCCUCCAGCAACCAGGGAACAAGGAGCUUCCUCUGAACACGACUGACCUCCAGAACAGAGCGAUAAAAGCAGAAACAUGGAUGAUGCAGCCGUCUGUUCACAUGUGACACUUUAAAUGAAUCACAGCUGAGUCUGACGGGACGAGAACCCGGCGUCCUCGGAGCUCCAGUCAAGAUGAAGAAAAACUCCCAGAGAGACAAAGACGAGAGUCGACAUGAUCCUGAAGUAAAGAGGAUUUAUUCAUCUUCAUCUCUCCUCCAUUAGAUAUUUAUCAUCUCUGCACCGUCCAAUAAGAUGAAGAGAAGAAUUUGAGAACUUUUAUUUCUUAAAAAUAUUAAAAGUUCAGUCAAAGAUACUGAGUCAUGAUGUUAAAUUUAAAUGUGUUUAUCCUCCGUCCUGCUCCAGGUUUAAAGUGUCUCAUGUGGACGUUGUUGUGUCAGAAUAAACUCCUCCUCUCUCAUGUCUGAAAGAGUUUUAUUGUGAAGGUAUUGUGAAGGAAAUAAACACGAUGUGUCUGCUGAAAUCUGUGUUUUCUGGUCUGAAGGAUGAACGUGACGAACACGGCGUGACGCCCUGCGGCGCUCUGACCUCAGGAGCUCACGUUUAUCUCAGGGUCAC